rnacentral:lncRNA from 1 species
ACUUUCAAUACUUACUUAGAUUAGUUUUUACUUUUGCUGUUACACAUUAUUUUCAUCACAUAAUCAUUUAAGUAAGAAGCACAUAUCUAUUUAAAAUUUUAAUUUGGUUAAAAUUUUUUAAAAUACUCAAUUCACCCCCCCUCUCUCUUGGAUAGCCAUACUUGGGCAACAUGAAGUAUAAACUAGUGGGAAAUGAGUCAAUUUAGCAUAGUUCAGGUGGCUUGGAUUGGGAGG